UUUUAUCCGGGUCGCAAAAUUGGCCUCAGAUGGCCAUCUUCCGGAUUGGUCCGAUGGUCCGACGAUACAUCUUGCCAGUUCAUACUCAAGCCGGCGGAUUAUCUGGUCCGCAAAAUUGGCCUCCGAUGGUCAUCUUUGGGGUCGAAUAGUCUUCCGACGGGACCACCGAAGGGAAGAGCAAUCUUUCUACUUCAUACUCAAGCCGGCUGCUUGCUCCGAUUAUCCGGGCUGCAAAAUUGGUCUCCGAUGGCCAUCUUUGGGAUCAAA